UGGGGCGAGGGGCGCGUUAUGCAAUGGGCGCACUGGGAGCGGGCAGGGGCAGCCUCGGGGCGCACAGGUUGUCAUCUGCCAGGGCGGACAGCAAAAAGCUGGAGGCUUACGCGCGCUCCUGUGUCCUCCAGGUUUAGAGUUGACAUCCUUGUUGGAUCUGGUAAACGCCUUCUGAGGGUCUUGUCUGUGGGUUCAAUGGAACAGGAGAAGGAAGCUUUGCCUGGUGACGGGUCCAGAGAGUUUAGAAAGUGGGGAAUAUGAAGUUGGGACCAGUUGGAACUCGCUGGGUACGGACCAGAUGCGCCCCUCUCCUGUGAGAACAGGCGCAUCCCCAUUACCUCUUUUGCCCCUUUUGAAGAAGGAAUGACCCCCAAGUCCGAAACUGUUUAGUAAUUGCUACCCUCUUAGCGCUUUUCUGAGAGACACGCGGCAGAGGACACAUCGGUCCAGCCGACAGGUGGUCGCUGAUGCCAAACUUUAGCGCCUGGCUCCGGAGUAAGGGGCCCUGCGAAGGGCGGAGGAGGACACACCUGGGAAGGGCUAAUGAGCAGUAGGGUGCCUUUAAGGGUUGAGAAGGGCUUAGUGGGCCUGCAGGCAGGUGAGGAGGGCUAAUUUUUGAGAAACGACCUGGCUGGAGUCUUCAGUUUGAAGCAGACACGUCAAGAUGUUCCAUAAGUAUUACCUGUAUCUUUUGCCAGGAUGGGUACAGCCUACCCCAGUCCCCCCCGGGGUCUCCUGGACUUCACAUGUGGUCAGACCCCAGGACUUAAAAUGACCUCUCUUCCUUCCACCGCAGUGACUUUCAAAAUAUUUAAAUGAACAAAUCCAGCUGAAAACAUGUGAUUGAAGUUGCACAUUAUGGUAUCAGUUUUUGUCCUGGGUGUCAUUCAAAGGGUUUGAUAAGAACAACCACUGAAAUAAACUCCAGCUGUCAGGAUCUAAGGAAAUUUAGGUCCAAAUGACUAAUACAUCUCUUAAUCAGAAAGAAUUAUAGGAGAAUGAGGCAGUUGUUCUUGCUGAAAAGAUUUUCCACCUAGUAAAUUAUAGCCUCUUAUACUCCAGGGUAUUUUUCUUUAAUCUUCUUAAGCCAAUUUCCAGUGUCUGAAAACAAUUUAAAUAUUCCAGGUAGCGAAUCCAAUUACUUAGCUGAGUGCGUCUGUGUCUAUAUUUUGUCCAGUUGGAAGCGCAAACGGAACUUGCAGUAUGAGCCACAGCUUCCUUGAAAGCUUGUGCCAAUUAUUAAAUGCUGUAGGCAAGGAUGUAAACAUGCAUCUUUUACCAUGGACGUUAGACUUUUCUCUUUUCUGUUCCAGUUUAAUUGUACCAGAUAUUUUUGUAAAAGAAUAUAAUCUAAACAAUAAAUUCAGACACAGGUUAAAUGAUUUGUGUCAUGGGGAAAUAAAAGAAAAUGCAAUUCUACAAAGAAAAUAGUCCUGCCCAUCUUGAGAUCCUUACAAGGAGAGCUAAUGUGAUGAUUUACUGAGAAAGAGAGGGACAGGCAGAGAAGAAGGGAGGGGUAUUUUUCUAGAACUGGGAGUUUGGGCAUAAGCUCUGGAUUUCUUUACAGUUUUGACUUUAAGCUAUAUUUUAAGUAAUUCUCCAUAAUUUCCUGUUUGGGAGAAAAAUAACCAAUGCUGUUUCAAGGAUGAAGGUCUUUAUGAAAAUACAUUUUGAAAUAUCCAGGUGGAUGAUUUGUAAUACAUGCAUUUAUGUAACAAAUAUUCGUUGCCAGCCUUGGACCUCAUUUCUGGGGUGGUGAAGAGAUUAGACAAAAUCCUGGAUAGUAAGGCACCUUACAUACUAGGUAGAAAAGACAAAAAUGAUUUAAAAAAAAUUGAGAAAGAGAGUGAUGCAUUGAGACUGUCGGAGGAAUCACUAGUGAAAACACCACUGGAAAAAAGAGAAAGGUGAAAGAAAGCUCGCCAAGCCUUGCAGCAGUGUUUCUGGGGGAAACUAUAGGAAGGAGGUAGAUACUAAGGAGAGAGCCAGUAGAAUCCCAGGUCUUUUUAAAGAGGAAAUCUAGAGUGCACCCAGGAGAAAAGUUAUAUUUACUGUGAUAAUUUAUUCUGUAGGUGCUUUGAUUCCCUUAGUCUCCAUGACCUGAGGACUAAGAGGGACCCAGAAUUUCUUAAGAUUGCCUUUAUCCUUCUGUGGUAUUUUCUGCUCAACUCUCUGCAGUUUGUAUUUGUUCUCUUAGAAUCAAACAAGUUUAGUCUCUCUGGCUAUUCUUAUUGCAUCUUCAUGAGAUUGUGCAUUGAAGACAAAAGAGAACAAAAUCUCGAGUCAGAGUCCUGGGUUUACCUCCUGGUUCUCUUGUCAGUCUGCUGUGUAACUUAAGGUAAAUCGCUCAUUCUCUCUAAACCAUUGUUGCUUCUUAAGCAAACCUGAGGUAAUGGUGCUGUUCCUACCAGUUUCAGGUAGUAGUUGGGAGGAACCAAUAGGAGAAAGCAACACUUCUCACACUGAGCAUACAUCUGAACCAUCUGGAAGACUUGUUUCAUGUAGAAGUUGGGAGAAACCAAUAGGAGAAAGCAACACUUCUCACACUUGAAGAUACAUCUGAACCAUCUGGAAGACUUGGGAACUAAGCCUGUCCUGAACUUGGCAAGCAGAUAAAGAAUCGACUUAUCACGGCUACCUGUUUCACUAAUGAUAUUAAAGGAAGAAACUUUA